rnacentral:rRNA from 1 species
UACGUAGGGUGCGAGCGUUGUCCGGAAUUACUGGGUGUAAAGAGCUCGUAGGUGGUUUGUCGCGUUGUCCGUGAAAACUCACAACUCAAUUGUGGGCGUGCGGGCGAUACGGGCAGACUGGAGUACUGCAGGGGAGACUGGAAUUCCUGGUGUAGCGGUGGAAUGCGUAGAUAUCGAGAGGAACACCUGCGGCGAAGGCGGGUUGCUGGGCUGAUACUGACGCUGAGGCGCGAAAGCCAGGGGAGCGAACGGG